UAUAAAUAAAAACAGCUAAAUAAUUAAUAAACAUAAAUCAAUUAUUUUCAUUAAUAAAAUUAAUACAAAAAUACAUUUUUCUAGUAAAUAUUUCGAUUCUUUUGUGUCGAAACGACGUGACAUUGAGAGAACAUGUUGGGAGGUUUGCUGAAAACACACAGGAUGUACAAUGAUACCUGAUGGAUACCUGAAGAGUACCUCUGAUAGCUAGCAAGUGCAAAAGUGGAUCUAUGCAUCAGAAAAGUCAAGAUGGCUUAGACCAAGUUUCUAUAUAUAUAUAGUACAUAGUAUAUAUGUAUUAUAUAUAUAUCUAUCUAUAUUAUACCAACAUUGUAGUAAUAGUCAACUGAGUUUUAGAGCUGUUCCCUUUAGCGCGCGUCUUCCCUUCUAUACCAUACAUAUUUUACUAUUAUAUUUAGUACGUAUAUACAACUGAUAAAUACGUACUUGCUAUUCUGUUUAUUUUUUUUUUUCUUCGCAUUAUUUUUUUAUUGUUCCCAAGCGUAAUAAUAAUAUAACAAUUACGUGCAUUCUUAAUUUAGCAGCCAUGUGUAUUUUUUUUUUAUUUUUUUAAAAACAAUUUGUUCAUCAUUUUUUUGUUAUUGCCAAAUAAUUUUAGAUGAUAAUUAAAUAUGAUGGAUUGUUUAUCUUAAUUUUUUUGAUAUUUUAAAUGGUAAAUUUUGGUUUUAAUUAAUAAAAAAUAAAUUAUUAAAAGCGCGCGCAUCUUUCCUUGGCGAGCUUGAUAUGUCGAUUGUGACGCAUUAUUUUGCAAAUCAACCAAGCACAUCAUCAUCAACAUCAACAUCAUCAUGAUGAUCAUCUUGUGUCUCUUAGAUAAAUUCCAUUUUCAAUGUUUAUGCCAUUCUUCCCACAUUCAUAACAAUAUUUCGUCAUACACACACACUCAAAGAGUAUAUUUUUAUUUUGUCGAAUGAAUGCAUCACGUGGAUUUUAUUUUUAUAAUAAAAAUAACAUUAUGCAUGUGUAAAAAAAUAUAUAUCACAAUUAUGUGAUGUAUCAUAAUACCUGUAUAAUGCAUUUUUUAAAAAACAACAUAGGGGUAUUAUUUAAUUGACAUAAUGUUAAAUAUUUCUACAUAGAAAAAAAAAAUAACUGUUAAUGUUUUUUUUUCUCCACUUGUUUUUGUUGGACUUGAUGAUGAAAAAAUUUGACCACAUGUAUUACGCAAUAAUUGAUGGUCUAUAAAAUUAUUAAAUUCUUGAAUCAUAACAACGAGAAGUAAAAAAAAAUAGACUAAAUUGAUAAACGAGGACAAUUGUGUUAAUAUUUAAUUAAAAUUGAUAAAAUGGGGGAGAGUCAAGUUGACUAUUUGAUUGUGCAUUAACACUCUAAUUAAUAUAAUAUUUAUCAUGAAAAUAUCAAGUUAAUCAAGAGAGAGGUGUAAAAAUUCAAUUGAAAUAAAUUAAUUUAAAAAAAGUAAUGAAUAAACAAGUGUUGAUGUUGAUGUUGUUGAUGACAAGAGGGUUAAAAAUAAAAGACAAAAAAAAAUCAUAAAUAAACACUCAAAGUUGAAUAAAAAAUCUUUUGUGGAUAUAUGAAUUAAUUGAAUUUAUCAUUCGGUUGUUGUACAUGCGAUUUUAUAAAUGUGUAUUGGUAUAUAUAUAUUUGCAAUUUUUAAACAUGUAUAUAUUAUAGUACGUAGCUUGGCAACAAGCAGCAUUCAGGCAUCGAGUUGCGGGGCAAGGUCGACCUUCUCCCCUUUGGCUAUUUUAUCCCAGUGACGAUAUGUAUUAUUAUUAUCAUUAUUUUAUAAAAAAAUUAAAUGUAUUUAUGUUGGAAAUAUUAAAUUUAUAUUAAAAUUAUUGACAGUGUCUUUAAACUACCCCCCUGUGUGUGAAAAAAAAAAAAAACAAUUCUUUGUUGAGAAACGCUAGAGAAAUUUACAGAGAAAAAAAUAUAUCUAUGGAAAUUAGCUGAUAAAUAAUGUAUCAUUAUUAUCAUAAAAUAAAUAAUAUAUAUUAUUUAAUUUAAUUGAAAAAUAUACACAUGUGAUUCAGGGCAUUACAGUAUUAACUGUGCAAAUUAAUACAAUGUAAAAUUCAGAAUACGGAUAAAAAGUUUACAAAAAAGAUAGAUAUAACACAGUGGUGUGAAAGGCAGACGAAAAAAAAAUAGGCUAAAUUGCAAAAGAUCAUAUCGAGCAUAACAAAACCGUAAAAUAACAUGUUGUACAGCUAGUACUGUACUAGGAGUAGAAAAAAAAAUAGGAAGCUAGUUAAAUUCUGGCUACUGAAUAAGUGUAAUACCUAGUUUUGCAAAUAUAUUUUUUGAUAACUGUUAUUGUCUAUGAAUAAAUAAAUAAUUAAAUAAAUAAAUAAAUAUUAAAGCAAAAUUUAGAGACAUUAAUUUGUCAUAUUAAUUUAAAAUGCCAAACGCGUGCGACCUGCCUUUCGAAUUUGAGGACAUGUAGCACGUGUUUCUAUAUUUUUUUUCGACAUUUUUUUUUUGCCAUUAACAAUUAAUUAUUUAUUAAAUAAUUUUAAUUCGAUAAAUAUCAUGCAUUGUAAAUAAAAAAGAUAUAUUAAACUGCGUAAAUUUGGUAAAAAUUAUUUAAUGAAAAUAUAAGGUGAUUAAAAAAAAAUAAAUUUAUUUAACGAUCAACAGGCAAAAGAAAGCAAACGAAGGCAGUGUGACCACAUUCCAGAGACACUCCCACUCGAUAUACUUUGAGUCUACUGCAUGUAUUUACUUUUAUUAAAUAUGUAUUUAAUUUUCCAAUAAUAUUUAUUAUAAAUAAAUGUUUGGCUGAUUUAAUCUCAUUUUAUUAUUUACUCUUGUUCGAGAAACUUGAUACAUUUUUUUUUACUAGAGAAACAGUCAUUUUAUUGUCGAAAUAAUAUUUGGUACUAUUUACUAGGAUAAACAAAAUUAUAUUUAACAAAAAAAGAGUGGAUAAUGGAUAAAUUUCAUAGAUCAAAAAAAAAUAAAUAAAAAAGUUAAUCGUGUGAACCUCGUGAAAGACAAUUUCUCAGUAGAAAAAUAAAUAUUUUUCGAUUACUAUUGUUGUUAAUAUUUCGACAAUAAUGAACGUCAUGAUUACCACUGACAUAGAACAAUAGAAUCAUAGAAAAACCAGUUUAUAUUUUGUAAAAAAAAUUUGCAAUAAUCAAAAAAAAAAAAAAUAAAGAGUUGUGUGUUAAAUUACUUGGGUUACCAUUAUUGGACCACUAAGGCAUCGUUGUAGAGCAACAAUCGACUCACAUUACACACGCGCUAAAUAUAUAUAUAAAAAACUUGAAAAGAACAAAAAAAAAAAAACACUAUUUUCUCAUAAAUCUCCAUUUU
rnacentral:lncRNA from 1 species